GCCGCUCCAGUCGGCCUCGUGUCUAAGAAGCUGUGGAGUUUGUGCCCUUCACCCUUGCAUUUGUCUGACUGUACCCCCGUGGGGAUUCUGCCCUGCUCACCCGCAGUGCUUCUCUUGGUGGUGCAGAUUCGUGGCUGUUGGUGUGGAGCGUGGCUGGCACUGCUCAGAGUGCCUGAGAGGAAGGAUAGGCACCUUGUGUGGUCUUGCAGACGUGCCAAGGCUGCUAUGCAGCUCUGACUGCAUGGGGGCUGAGGAGGGGGCUUGCAGUGGUGGCCACAGCCAGCAAGGGGCCUUUACUGAAGAGAAAUGAGGAUUCUUGCAUCUAGGUUCAGGUCCAUGGUGGAACAGACCAGACUCAGUGAGUCCCAUCCCUGUCCCUGUCCAGAGGCCUCUUGCUCAGAUCACAGCCCAGGUCCUGUCACUGUCUCUCCCUGAGGGGCCCUGAGUUCAUCCUGGUCUGAGAGCAGUGCUGCUUGGGAAUGUAUCAGAAGAUCCAGGACUGGGAACUUCCAUGCUGCCUCCAGCAGGAAAGAAGGUGCCUGUUUCAGAAGCUGACUUUCGAAAAGCUUCAGUGACCAUCCUUCUCUCUUGGUUGAGCUGUGUGAGUGUACCCGGAGAAAUGCGAGAAGCAGAAUUGCUAACUUGGAGAGUCAGGUACAUUUAUAAUCGUUACACCUAUUAUAAAGUCAAUGUCAUGUUUUAAAUUGUCACAUGUAUUGGCU
rnacentral:lncRNA from 1 species